AUUCUAAUAGCUUAUUUUAUAGAGCAUGAUAUUGAAGAUAUUAAGGAGAUGUUAUAUCUUAGGAUA
rnacentral:tRNA from 1 species